rnacentral:rRNA from 1 species
AACGAACGCUGGCGGCGUGGAUAAGACAUGCAAGUCGAACGCUGAUUGCCGGGUAGCAAUAUUCGGCGGUCGGAGUGGCGUAAGGGUGCGUAACACGUGGGUAAUUUGCCCUGAAGUUGG